UACAUGGGGUGCAAACGUUGCUCGGAAUUAUUGGGCGUAAAGCGCGCGUAGGCGGUUACUCAAGUCGGAUGUGAAAGCCCUCGGCUUAACUGAGGAAGUGCACCCGAAACUGAGUAGCUAGAGUACCAAAGAGGGUCGCGGAAUUCCCGGUGUAGAGGUGAAAUUCGUAGAUAUCGGGAGGAACACCGGUGGCGAAGGCGGCGACCUGGGCGGAUACUGACGCUGAGGCGCGAAAGCGUGGGGAGCGAACAGG
rnacentral:rRNA from 1 species